CUCCUGGAGUAUUUUUGAUUCUGUACAACAUGGAAAUUUGGAAAACAACAAAGGACUGCUUAGAAACCAGCUAUAGGCCAGGGGCAGUGUUCACACCCAUAAUCCCAAGACUUUGGGGAGGCCAAGACCGGGGGAUGGCUUGAACACAGGACUUGAGACCAGCCUGGGCAACAGUGUCUUUAUAAAAAAAAAAAAAAAAAAAAGUCCAGUGUGGUGGCAUGCACCUAUGGUCCCAGCUACUUGUAAGGAUGAGGCAGUGAGCCGUGAUCCCACCACUGCACUUCAGCCUGAGCAACAAAGACCCUGUUUCAAAAAAAAAAAAAAAAAAACCAAAAAAAAAAAAAAAAAAUCAGCUACCACGCAGAAAACCAAAUGUUUAUUGCAGCCCACCUGGAGCUUCAGAGCCAUAGAACUAGAGCCGAACAGCACCUUAGAGGUCACUGCAUUCUGUGGUUCGGGAACUGAGACCCAGAGUUGCUGCCAGCUACCCGAGGAACUUUCAGGCUGUG
rnacentral:lncRNA from 1 species